rnacentral:rRNA from 1 species
AGAGUUUGAUCCUGGCUCAGGAUGUACGCUGGCGGUCUGCUUAACACAUGCAGGUCGAACGCACCUUUCGGGGUGAGUGGCGGACGGGUGAGUAACGCGUGAGAAUCUGCCUAGAGGUCGGGGACAACCAUUGGAAACGAUGGCUAAUACCGGAUAUGCCUUACGGGGUGAAAGAUUAAUCGCCUUUAGAAGAGCUCGCGUCUGAUUAGCUAGUUGGUAGGGUAAAAGCCUACCAAGGCAUCGAUCAGUAGCUGGUCUGAGAGGAUGACCAGCCACACUGGGACUGAGACACGGCCCAGACUCCUACGGGAGGCAGCAGUGGGGAAUUUUCCGCAAUGGGCGAAAGCCUGACGGAGCAAGACCGCGUGAGGGAGGAAGGCUCUUGGGUCGUAAACCUCUUUUGUCAGGGAAGAACAAAAUGACGGUACCUGACGAAUCAGCAUCGGCUAACUCCGUGCCAGCAGCCGCGGUAAUACGGAGGAUGCAAGCGUUAUCCGGAAUUAUUGGGCGUAAAGCGUCCGCAGGUGGCACUUCAAGUCUGUCGUCAAAGACCGGGGCUUAACCCUGGAAAGGCGAUGGAAACUGAAAGGCUAGAGAGAGGUAGGGGUAGAGGGAAUUCCCAGUGUAGCGGUGAAAUGCGUAGAGAUUGGGAAGAACACCCGUGGCGAAAGCGCUCUACUGGACCUCAUCUGACACUCAGGGACGAAAGCUAGGGGAGCGAAUGGGAUUAGAUACCCUAGUAGUCC